GAAAUGCGAUAAGUAAUGUGAAUUGCAGAAUUCAGUGAAUCAUCGAAUCUUUGAACGCACCUUGCGCUCCUUGGUAUUCCUUGGAGCAUGCCUGUUUGAGUAUCAUGAAAUCUUCAAAGUAAAUCUUUUGUUAACUCACUUGGUUUCUACUUUGGUAUUGGAGGUCUUUGCAGCUUCACACCUGCUCCUCUUUGUUCAUUAGCUGGAUCUCAGUGUUAUGCUUGGUUCCACUCGGCGUGAUAAGUUAUCUAUCGCUGAGGACACUGUAAAAGGUGGCCAAGGUAAAUGCAGAUGAACCGCUUCUAAUAGUCCAUUGACUUGGACAAUACUUCUAUGAUCUGAUCUCAAAUCAGGUAGGACUACCCGCUGAACUUAAGC
rnacentral:misc_RNA from 1 species